rnacentral:tRNA from 1 species
GCCUGGGUGGCUCAGUCAGUUAAGCAUCUGACUUCAGCUCAGGUCAUGAUCUCACGGUUCGUGGGUUCGACCCCCACGUCAGGCU